rnacentral:rRNA from 1 species
GACGAACGCUGGCGGUGUGCUUAACACAUGCAAGUCGAACGGUAAGGCCCUUUCGGGGGUACACGAGUGGCGAACGGGUGAGUAACACGUGAGUAACCUGCCCUCAUCUCUGGGAUAACAGUCGGAAACGGUUGCUAAUACUGGAUAUGAGCUUGCAAGGCAUCUUGUGGGUUGGAAAGAUUUUUUUGGUUGGGGAUGGACUUGCGGCCUAUCAGCUUGUUGGUGAGGUAGUGGCUCACCAAGGCUUCGACGGGUAGCCGGCCUGUGAGGGCGACCGGCCACAUUGGGCCUGGGAUACGGCCCACACUCCUACGGGAGGCAGCAGUGGGGAAUAUUGCACAAUGGACGGUAGUCUGAUGCAGCAACGCCGCGUGCGGGGUGACGGCCUUCGGGUUGUAAACCGCUUUCAAUUGUGACGGAGCUUUUUUGUGACGGUAGCAGUAGAAGAAGCACCGGCUAACUACGUG